CAAUAGCGUAUAUUAAAGCUGUUGCGGUUAAAAAGCUCGUAGUUGGAUUUCUGUCAAGGACAACUGGUCCGCCCCUCGGGUGAGCACAUAGUUUGGUCUUGGCAUCUUGUUGGAAACUGUUGCUGCACUUGGUUGUGUGGCGCAGUGUCCAGCACUUUCACUUUGAGGAAAUUGGAGUGUUUCAAGCAGGCACAUGCCUUUGGACACAGUAGCAUGGAAUAAUUAGAUUGGGCUUUUGCUCCAACUUGUCGGUUUCUGGAGCUGAGGUGAGAAUUAAUGGGGAUUGUUGGGGGCAUCCGAAUUUAGCCGUCAGAGGUGAAAUUCUUGGAUCUGCUAAAGACGGACAACUGCGAAAGCGUUUGCCCAGGAUGUUUUCAUUGAA
rnacentral:rRNA from 1 species